CACCGGCGCCCCGAGUGGCCAUCGCGAUUAUUGGGCCUAAAGCGUCCGUAGCCGGACAGUUAAAUCCUCUGUGAAAUCGUUGCGCUUAACGUAACGGCGCGCAGGGGAGACUGGCUGUCUCGAGACCGGGAGGGGUUAGAGGUAUGCCGUGGGGACUGGUAAAAUGGUAUAAUCCACGGUAGACCACCAAUGGCGAAGGCAUCUAACCAGAACGGAUCUGACGGUGAGGGACGAAAGCUAGGGGA
rnacentral:rRNA from 1 species